UACGGAAGGCAGCAGUGGGGAAUAUUGCACAAUGGGCGAAAGCCUGAUGCAGCUAUGCCGCGUGUAUGAAGAAGGCCUUAGGGUUGUAAAGUACUUUCAUCGGGGAGGAAAAACAAAACUAAUAAUUUUAUUUCUUGACGUUACCCGAAAAAGAAGCACCGGCUAACUCCGUGCCAGCAGCCGCGGUAAUACGGAGGGUGCUAGCGUUAAUCAGAAUUACUGGGCGUAAAGAGCACGUAGGUGGUUUUUUUAAAGUCAGAUGUGAAUCCCUGGGCUUAACCUAGGAACUGCAUUUUGAAACUGAAAUACUAGAGUAUCGUAGAGGGAGGUAGAAUUCUAGGUGUAGCGGUGAAAUGCGUAGAUAUCUGGAGGAAUACCUGUGGCGAAAGCGGCCUCCUAAACGAAUACUGACACUGAGGUGCGAAAGCGUGGGGAGCAAACAGGGAUUAGAUACCCGU
rnacentral:rRNA from 1 species